rnacentral:lncRNA from 1 species
CAGAGAUGGAAUUCCAUCUGAAUCUUGCUGUGAUUUUUUGGAUGAACUCAUGGGAUGUCAUUGCAGAUUCAAGGUUGUAUGUGUUUGUAAUUUGGGUUUAGUAUUGAUCAAUCACUUCUGGGCCAGAGGGGAAAUGUGCAUGUGAAUUUUGAAAAUAAAAAUUUGAAAACAUCCCUGAAGAUAGUGACCCGUUGCUCCAUUCAUGGGUAUUUGAGCUUAUACAGGUGUCUCAGGCUGUUGUCAUGAAGUACCACAAAGCUGGUGGCUUAAAACACACCUUUAUUUAUCUUACAGCCCCAGGAGUCAGAAGCCCAGAUGGGUCUCCUGACUAAAAUCAACACGUGCCAGGGCUGUGCUCCUUCUGCAGACUCGAGAGGAAUGCUGUUCCAGCUUUCAGAAGCGUCCACACCCGUGGGCUGUGGCCCCAUGUCCCUCCAACCUCUGCCUCCCAAGUCACACCUCCUCUUGCCUCCCUGCUUCACUUCUGAGGACCCCAUCCUGCAUAAUCCUCUCCUCACCUCCAAAUCCUUAAUUGAAUUAUGCUUGCAGAAUCCUUUCUACCAGAGACAAAGCUAA